rnacentral:rRNA from 1 species
UCUACGGGGAGGCAGCAGUGGGGAAUAUUGGACAAUGGGCGAAAGCCUGAUCCAGCCAUGCCGCGUGUGUGAAGAAGGCCUUCGGGUUGUAAAGCACUUUCAGUGGGGAAGAAAGCCUUGGGGCUAAUACCCUCGAGGAAGGACAUCACCCACAGAAGAAGCACCGGCUAACUCCGUGCCAGCAGCCGCGGUAAUACGGAGGGUGCGAGCGUUAAUCGGAAUUACUGGGCGUAAAGCGCGCGUAGGCGGUCUGAUAAGCCGGUUGUGAAAGCCCCGGGCUCAACCUGGGAACGGCAUCCGGAACUGUCAGGCUAGAGUGCAGGAGAGGAAGGUAGAAUUCCCGGUGUAGCGGUGAAAUGCGUAGAGAUCGGGAGGAAUACCAGUGGCGAAGGCGGCCUUCUGGACUGACACUGACGCUGAGGUGCGAAAGCGUGGGUAGCAAACAGGAUUAGAUACCCCAGUAGUC